rnacentral:lncRNA from 1 species
AUCACCAGGGGCAGUGUUGCUUAAAGUGUGGUCCUCAAAUUAAUUGCAUUGCAUUUACUUAAAUGUGCUUGUUAAAAAUAAAGAUUUCAUUUGUCAAAACCCAUAGAAUGUACAACACAAAGAGUGACCCCUAAUAUUUGGUUGAUAAUAAUGUGUCAAUAUCAGUUCAUCAGUUGUAAUAACUGGACCACACUGAUGUAAGAUAUUGAUGGUAGAGAGGCUGUGAGCUGGUGGAGAAGGGAGUAUGUGGGAACUCUCUUUACUUUGCUCAGUUUUGCUGUACACCUAAACUGCUCUGGUGCCCAACGUGGAGGCUUUUCUCUAGGGUGAAGGUACACUCGAGCGUGGUCAUUGAGGACAAGUCGACGAGAGAUCCCGAGUACGUCUACAGUCAGCCUUACGAGUGGACUGAUCAAGUUGAAAGCAACAGAACAAGCAUCUAUAAGAAUUGAUUAUAUGUCCCAGCACUUUGGAAGGCUGAGGCAAGUGGAUCCCUUGGGCCUAGGACUUCGCGAGACCAGUUGGGCAACAUGAACAAGAUGGAAGAAACUACGGUCACAUAUGCAAAUGGAGAAGAUGAUGAACACAGAAAAAUUAUGCAAAGAUAAUCCCUAAACCUUCUUUCUCAUCAAAAGUUAUAGCAAGGUGGUUUAAUAUAUCACUGACGGAACACGAUGCUUUGUUUAAUGAAGACUCAGACGGAAAGGAUCAGACAUCAACCUAUAAAUGCAUCAACCAGAAGGAAAGACCAAUUUUGAAAACUGUUGAGCAUUAUUCUAUACCUCUAAGCUGUUCUUUUCUGAACCAUGAAUCGGGAGAAUUAUUGUCACUCAUACAUGAGUAUGAGUUGUAAUUCUCAAUUCCCAAGUAAAAAUCUUCCUGCUUUUGUUAUAUUUUUCUUCUUGUGAAUUUUUUUCUCUUUGUUUGUGGUCAAAAGA